AUCAAUUUUGUGUAUCAUUCAUUUAAUUUCUUCGAUCCCGAUGGCCAAGUUUUGUUGCUCCCUAUUUUUCCUGAUUCUUCUCUUUUCAGCAACCCAUUCAGCAAUUGGUGCGGCUAAGUUAUUGAACGGAUGCUCGCCGCAAGAGUGUCAGCAGAAGUGUGUAGAAAAGUAUCCUGGAUCAACAUCUCUGUGCGUCACGGCCACUGCAUCAGCUUUUGCCCUUACUUGCUAUUGCUUCAACCGUUGCACUCAAAGCCCCUGCAAUUCCUCUUACCCUUGUUUGCUCUUGCUUCCACAGUUGCCUUAAAGAACACACUCAUUUUUAACCUA